GGCUCUUGGGGUAAGGCAGCCAUCUCAAAGGUCCACCUUAGAGAACAGGAAAAAUAAAUACCAACAAAGAAUUAAAAAAUAAAUAAUGCCCCUGCUAAGCUAAGAUUGACAGCAUUUUGCAAAAGAAUCUGGCAUCAAAAGGAGGGAACAAGCACUGCUGGGAAUUUUCUGUUUUUAGAAGUGGCAGAUUACAGCACACAAGGAACUGGAAAAAUCCAUGGCUGGUGAAACCACUGUGACACUUGCCAGCAGUGAUUUUGACUUUUAAUUGAGUAAAGCCUCAUGAAGCUGAAGAAACAGGAACUUCAGCCAUUUUCUGAAACUUUGAAUAGAAAAAUACUCCGUGAAGGCAGAUCAUGGAAUCACAGAACAGGUGAGGUUGGAAAGAACCACUGGAACCUUCCUGCCCGAGCCAGGUCCUGUCAAGGGCACUACUCAGGAGUGAAUCCAGGUGGUUCUCGAAUAUCUUCAGGAAUGGAGGCUUCACAUCCCCUCUGGAAAACCUGCUGUUCCUUCUGCUCUCCAAGACCUGUGGUGUGACUUUCUGCAGUAAUCCCAUUAUCCUCAGUUUAACCAGUGCUCCCAGGCCUUUCCUCUCCAGUGGGAGCCCUCAGGUACUCGCUGUCCCCUCUCAGCCGUGGUUUUGUUGCAGAGCAUCUCCCACCCUUGACAAUUUGUUGUGCUUUUGUCACCCUUUUUUUUUUUUUAUUAAUAUAUAUAUGGAUAGUGGAUCCUGGAGGAGUGAACAUCUUGGCUAAUAUGCUGAGAGUAACACGUUUGGAUUAGGAAGAAUUCCAAUAUAAGCCCAUGUUUAUGAAGAGUGAUUUAUUGCAACAAUUUUUUUUUGCUGUUAACGCUGCUGUUAAGCAAUCGUGGUUUUCAUUAGCAAAUUGCUUUUUUUCAGCUUGAAAGCACCGUAAUUAAUUGCUACUAUAAUUCUUUAUAUUGUUUGGGAUUUCAUUGCUGAUUUUUUAAUUACAGCGUGUCUCUUGGAGCAAAAAGUUUUUAGAAAGGCUUGUAUGGAAAAAAUCCCAUAGAAGUUGAUACAUUCAUCUCUGCAAUCAGUUAUAUUUGCUGGUUGUGAUUUAUUAGUGUUGCUGCCAGAACAGCUGUGGAAAAAUGUUCUGUAACGUAGUUCUUUAUUGUAUUUGGGGGGCAAAUAAAAUCACUGCGGCUUUGGUAGUUUUGAAUAAUUUUUGUUUAUACUGUAACCCACAGAAAUGUAAGUAAGGCCAUCUAGCUUAUUGUAAAUCAAACUAAAAAGGACUUCUCAGUCAGUAUUUCUCACAGAAAUGGUCCCUCCAAUGUGGAUCGACAAUUUCUGUAAUCUGUGGAAGUUUUCUUGCUUUAAGCUCAGCUUCUUUAAUUUUGUUAGGUUUUUCUUUCAUUUUCUGUGAGUGCCCACUAAGUGAUACAGCCC